CUAUAAAUUAACUUUAAUGAUCAGUAUAAUAAUUAAUAUUACAAUUUGUAUUAAUUUUCAAAAGUAUGGUUAAGUAAUGUUUUGUUUUUUAAAAUAGUAGAGCGCUAUUUAAGUUUUCGUUCAGUAUCCAUUUUAAAAACUAUCGGUUGAUUAAUUGGUAUCGGCCUAGUUUUUCCAUGUAGUUAAUUUAUUUUGUGGGAGCUGAACAUUUGAACUGUCUUCCUCUGUGUGCAGGGCAUUCUGGGAUCUGGUUUUGCUCUUAAAGUCCAGCAGAAACAGAGGCAGAAACAUUUUAACCGGCAGAUUCCAGCCGCAGCCUCUUUAAUACAGACGCUGUGGAGAUGCUACGCCUGCGAGAAGUCCGAUAGCUGUACGGCCACGUGGAAGAUGUACGUGCUGACGGGCGACUACAUCCCCAUCAUAAACUCUGAAAACUCCAGCCCGGGCAACUUCAGACGGCUGAGUAAGAGGUACAAACGGAAGCCGAAGGUCACACGUGAUAACGGUUCUCUGGGUCCCGGAGGAGAACGAACCCUCUCCAUCCCACAAAUCACCUACGACCACAUCGAUGAUAAAGACGGAGUCUUUUCUGAGGAGUCCACUGACCGCCAGCGCUCGUGGUCUGCUUUCGCUCUCAUCUGUCCUUCUUCUCCAGGUAUCCGUCUUUUGCAAAGGCUCUCCUGCAUUCUCAGUCUCUUUUCUGGAGACUACUCUUCUUGGCUUUCUCUAACUCCAUGAAUGCUCUUUCCAGUCUCUCCAAGCUGCUCAGAGAGGUCAGAAAUCUCCUCUGAAGUUUUUAAAAAUCAGUUGUACAUCAUUUAUGGAUGACUCCGAUAUGAGGGGCAUGACUCUGGGAAACAGCCAUCACCGGCUUUUCCUGGAUGACCGGAAAUCUGUAAUCGCUGUCAGAGAGGUCAGCAGUGAUCUGUCCUCUGCAACCUUGAAAAAUACUUUUGUUCAGAACUUUUUCCAAAAUGUAUCACGCUGUUCAAAAGUUUGAUGUUGGUAAGAUUUUUAGAAUAAGUCUCUUCUGCACACCAAAGCCGCAUUUAUUUGGUCAUACAUACAGUAAAAACAGUAAUAUUGUGAAAUUUUAUUACAAUUUAAUAUAACUGUUUUCUGAUUGAAUAUAUUUUAAAAUGUAAUUGAUGCGCAGCUGUAUUUUCUAGCAUCAUUACUGUCAGUCUUCAGUGUCACAUGAUCUUCAGAAAUCAUUCUAAUAUGCUGAUUUGCUGCUCAAGAAACAUUUAUUGAUUAUUAUCAAUGUUGUAAAACAGUUAUGCUGCUUCAUAUUUUUGUGGAAACCAUGCUACAUUUGUUUUCAGAAUUUGUUUGAUGAAUAAAAAGUUCAAAAGAAAAGCAUUUAUCUGAAAUAGAAAUAUUUUGUAACAUAUAAGUGUCUUUACUGUCACUUUUAAUCAAUUUAAUGCAUCCGUGCUGAAUAAAAGUGUUAAUUUCUUUCAAAAAUUCGUA
rnacentral:lncRNA from 1 species